ACAACCAUCAAAGUGAAAUAUAUAGGUAUUAAGUGGCUCUGUAUUUUUUCUCCUUAUGGUUUUCUCUUCUUCUGACAGUAGGUCUCUUCUUGUGUUGGAAUCGCAGCUGCCCCUGUCUGGAAGUGGCUCCUCCACUUCACUCGAAUGGUGAAUUUCUUCUUCCUCCCCUCCGAGUGAAAAUAUAGAUAGUUUUUUGUUUGACUUUAUCAGCAGGCGUACUUAUAUGAGAGAGAGGUUUUGUUUUCUGCCGUUGGGUUGUUUGUAUUAUUUUUCUUAUUGACACCUCUAGAUUUGAGCCAUAAGGUUUGAUAGUGGAGAAGCAUCGAUGGGUUGGUGUUUGGUGCUCUCUCCCUCCCUUAUUGUUUCUAGAGGUUUUCUCCUUGGCCCAAUCAGAGAAAUUCCCUCAGUUUUGUGCUUUUGAUGUCUUCUUUGCUUCCAACGAUGGGUGAGAUGGAGAAUUCUCCUCUAGCCGCCUCAUCUUCAAGUAAUAAAACAUACGGAUCUUAUUAUUA
rnacentral:lncRNA from 1 species